AUUGAACGCUGGCGGCAGGCUUACCGAACUACACAUGCAAGUCGAGCGGUCCGUAAGCACAGGGGAGCUUGCUCCCUGGGUGACGAGCGGCGGACGGGUGAGUAAUGUCUGGGAAACUGCCUGAUGGAGGGGGAUAACUACUGGAAACGGUAGCUAAUACCGCAUAACGUCGCAAGACCAAAGAGGGGGACCUUCGGGCCUCUUGCCAUCAGAUGUGCCCAGAUGGGAUUAGCUAGUAUGGCUCCCAGUAGUGGACCUAGGCGACGAUCCCUAGCUGGUCUGAGAGGAUGACCAGCCAGAACUGACCAGUGACACGGUCCAGACUCCUACGGGAGGCAGCAGUGGGGAAUAUUGCACAAUGGGCGCCAGUGAUGGGUAAAGCCGCCGCGUGUGUGAAGAAGGCCUUCGGGUUGUAAAGCACUUUCAGCGAGGAGGAAGGUGGUGAACUUAAUACGUUCAUCAAUUGACGUUACUCGCAGAAGAAGCACCGGCUAACUCCGUCCAGUGCGUGCAAGCGUUAAUCCCAGUAGUGGAAGUGGAAGGAAUUACUGGGCGUAAAGCGCACGCAGGCGGUUUGUUAAGUCCCAGUGAUAGUCAACCUGGGAACCAGUUUCGUGCUACUGCAUUUGAGCAAGCUAGAGUCUCGUAGAGGGGGGUAGAAUUCCAGGUGUAGCGGUGAAAUGCGUAGAGAUCUGGAGGAAUACCGGUGGCGAAGGCGGCCCCCUGGACGAAGACUGACGCUCAGGUGCGAAAGCGUGGGGAGCAAACAGGAUUAGAUACCCUGGUAGUCCAGCCAGUGAUGAUAACCGGGUGCGAGGUUGUGCCCUUGAGGCGUGGCUUCCGGAGCUAACGCGUUAAAUCGACCGCCUGGGGAGUACGGCCGCAAGGUUAAAACUCAAAUGAAUUGACGGGGGCCCGCACAAGCGGUGGAGCAUGUGGUUUAAUUCGAUGCAACGCGAAGAACCUUACCUACUCUUGACAUCCAGAGAACUUUCCAGAGAUGGAUUGGUGCCUUCGGGAACUCUGAGACAGGUGCUGCAUGGCUGUCGUCAGCUCGUGUUGCCAUGGACGUAACGUGGAAUGUUGGGGAGCGCAACCCUUAUCCUUUGUUGCCAGCGGUUCGGCCGGGACCGAUGCAACUCAAAGGAGUGAUAAACUGGAGGAAGGUGGGGAUGACGUCAAGUCAUCAUGGCCCUUACGAGUAGGGCUACACACGUGCUACAAUGGCAUAUACAAAGAGAAGCGACCUCGCGAGAGCAAGCGGACCUCAUAAAGUA
rnacentral:rRNA from 1 species